GGCUACCUUAAACGGCUGUGAUUUCAUUAUUUCAAAAACAUAAGACCGUUGAAGCCCCCUAUUCCAAAGCUUUAAAAGGGGGCGCCAUCUCAAUUUAAUCGGGCUUGUUCAUUGGUUUCUAGAUAUUGAGAAAGACCUCAGAGAGAGUUGGAAGAGGAGGAGGAGGAGGAAGGAUUGCCAGAUACCCAGAAAGAAGAAGAUUUGAUUUUCCGAGGGGCAUAUCUGAAAGAAUGGCUUCAAGACCCGUGGUUCAACAGCAAAAUAGAGGAGAUUUGCAGUUGAGGGAGUUGUUGCUGGGGGAAUAAAGCAAAAGAACAUUGCGGCAGAGGGAAGGAACUGCCGGGUACUGGGGAUAUUGGCAAUAUGGUUACCCUUCGAGGGGCUGAAGGCAAGCAGCAGCUUCCUCAGGUGUCUUGCCACCUCACAAGGGGUUUUUGUGCACAACUACUGGCUAAUGCACAAGCUGCAGCAGCUGACAAGAACAAGAAAUGUAUUGGUGCUGUGAAUGUUGAUGGAUUUGCUGCUGCAAAAGGAGGUGCCUAGAAAGCCGCCUGCUCAGAGAAGAGCUACUGUGAAGCCAAUCAAGCCUGAAGCUGUGAUUGUAAUCAGCCCUGACACUAAAGAAUAGGUGAAGGAAAAUAACAGCCUCCGCAGAAAGACUUAAACUGCAACUCUCACUGCUCGAAGCAAGGUUGAUUGAGGCUCAUUCUCUGUUUCAGAGACUGCCCCGGCUUCUUCUUGGCCUACUCUACCUAAUAGGUCAUUGCUGUGUAGGCCUUUGCUUGUUGAUAUAGGAAGGUGUACCUGUGUAAUUGUGAAGGAAACAUCCCCAGAUGGGUUCAAUGGAGGCACUCUCUACUCACUCU